GCCAGGUGUGGUGGCACUUGCCGGAAGUCCUAGCUACUCGGGAAGCUGAGGCAAGAGGAUCUGUUGAGCCCAGGAGUUCUGGGCUGUAGUGCGCUAUGCCAAUCGGGUGUCCGCACUAAGUUCAGCAUCAAUAUGGUGACCUCCCGGGAGCGGGGGACCACCAGGUUGCCUAAGGAGGGGUGAACCGGCCCAGGUUGGAAACGGAGCAGGUCAAAACUCCCGUGCUGAUCAGUAGUAGGAUCGCGUCUGUGAAUAGCCACUGCACUCCAGCCUGGGCAACAUAGCGAGACCCCGUCUCU
rnacentral:SRP_RNA from 1 species